UUAUUAUUAGUAUAAAAAGUACACUUGAUUUCCAAUCAAAAAGUUUUUAAUAAAAUAAUAAA
rnacentral:tRNA from 1 species